GGAUUAGAUACCCCACUAUGCUAGACCGUAAAUUCCACUCACACCAACAAACGCCAGGGUACUACGAGCCCCGCUUAAAACCUAAAGGACUUGACGGUGCCCCAUCCCCCUAGAGGAGCCUGUUCUAUAAUCGACAACCCCCGAUACACCUCACCACUAUUUGCUCUUCAGCCUGUAUACCUCCGUCGAAAGCCUGCCAUAUGAAUGACCUACAGCAGGCCUAAUGAUUUAACCCUCAGUACGUCAGGUCAAGGUGCAGCCAAUAUAGUGGGAAGUAAUGGGCUACAAUUUCUAGCAUAGAACACACAGAUUGCCACCUGAAACAGUGGACAUGAAGGCGGAUUUAGUAGUAAGAAGAAAACAACGUGUUCUCCUUAACCGGCACUGGGUCGCGUACAAACCGCCCGUCACCCUCUUCAACAGCACCUUUAAUUAUAUAUAAAAAAUUUCGCACCUUAGAAGAGGCAAGUCGUAACAUGGUAAGUGUACUGGAAAGUGCCCUUAGGACAA
rnacentral:rRNA from 1 species